GACGAACGCUGGCGGCGUGCUUAACACAUGCAAGUCGAACGGUGAAGCUCCAGCUUGCUGGAGUGGAUCAGUGGCGAACGGGUGAGUAACACGUGAGCAACCUGCCCCUGACUCUGGAAUAAGCGCUGGAAACGGCGUCUAAUACUGGAUACGAGAAGGGUCCGCAUGGGCACUUUCUGGAAAGUUUUUCGGUUGGGGAUGGGCUCGCGGCCUAUCAGCUUGUUGGUGAGGUAAUGGCUCACCAAGGCGACGACGGGUAGCCGGCCUGAGAGGGCGACCGGCCACACUGGGACUGAGACACGGCCCAGACUCCUACGUGAGGCAGCAGUGUGGAAUAUUGCACAAUGGGCGAAAGCCUGAUGCAGCGACGCCGCGUGAGGGAUGACGGCCUUCGGGUUGUAAACCUCUUUCAGCAGGGAAGAAGCGAAAGUGACGGUACCUGCAGAAGAAGCACCGGCUAACUACGUG
rnacentral:rRNA from 1 species